ACUAAUAGACUCUCUACCACUCACAGGGAUCCAUUUAGGCCAUCUGAGGUGUCGGGACAGGCCGAUUCCCUUGGAAGUUAAACUGCAACAGUCACUUAAGACUCGAGGGCUCUUUCCAGUCGGCCACAACGUCCCUCGUCGCCACCCGGCCACGAGGAAAAAGAAGAAAAAAAAAAGGUCAAAGCAAUUUAUAUGUGACACAUAGACUUUGAUCGCUUUGUCAUCGCCUCGGGGGCCGAACUCGCCUCUCUCACCGGUACCGCCGCCUCCAACGGCACGUACUUAUUGACACAGACAGAUGGGCGCACGUGGACGCGCACGUACAUGCACACACGUCAACUGCAGUUUGCAUGAGCAGUCUGCUGAGAGCGCGCUGUCAUCAACCACAAGAAGCAUCACAAGUCCUGAGAGGGUGCGUCAAACACGAGGGUUCUGAGCUCCGGGACUGGAAUGGCCAAAGAAGGACAACUUGAAGAACAAUCGGCCAGAGUUGAACUCACCACCGCUGGUUGCUCUCCAACCAGGACGAAGAGAACACCGAAAA